GAUGAACGCUGGCGGCGUGCCUAAUACAUGCAAGUCGAGCGAACAGAUAAGGAGCUUGCUCCUUCGACGUUAGCGGCGGACGGGUGAGUAACACGUGGGUAACCUACCUAUAAGACUGGGAUAACUUCGGGAAACCGGAGCUAAUACCGGAUAAUAUUUCGAACCGCAUGGUUCGAUAGUGAAAGAUGGUUUUGCUAUCACUUAUAGAUGGACCCGCGCCGUAUUAGCUAGUUGGUAAGGUAACGGCUUACCAAGGCGACGAUACGUAGCCGACCUGAGAGGGUGAUCGGCCACACUGGAACUGAGACACGGUCCAGACUCCUACGGGAGGCAGCAGUAGGGAAUCUUCCGCAAUGGGCGAAAGCCUGACGGAGCAACGCCGCGUGAGUGAUGAAGGUCUUCGGAUCGUAAAACUCUGUUAUUAGGGAAGAACAUACGUGUAAGUAACUGUGCACGUCUUGACGGUACCUAAUCAGAAAGCCACGGCUAACUACGUG
rnacentral:rRNA from 1 species